UACGUAGGUGGCAAGCGUUAUCCGGAAUUAUUGGGCGUAAAGAGCGCGCAGGUGGUUGAUUAAGUCUGAUGUGAAAGCCCACGGCUCAACCGUGGAAGGUCAUUGGAAACUGGGGAACUUGAAUGCAGAAGAGGAGAGUGGAAUUCCAUGUGUAGCGGUGAAAUGCGUAGAUAUAUGGAGGAACACCAGUGGCGAAGGCGACUCUCUGGUCUGUUAUUGACGCUGAGGCUCGAAAGCGUGGGGAGCAAACAGGAUUA
rnacentral:rRNA from 1 species